GGAUGUGAGGGUGAUCUGGCUGUGACAUCUGUCACCCCAUUGAUAUCCAGGAUUGAUUUGGCUGAUCUGGCUGGCUAGGCGGGUGUCCCCUUCCUCCCUCACUGCUGCAUGUGCAUCCCUCCCAAAGCUGCACACUCGGUGGAAGAGGAUGUCCGUCCCGAUAGAGGACUGUUCUUCGGUCAAGGGUAUAUGAGUAGUUGUGCUCCCCUCCUAGGACCUCCAAACAAGCUCUCAAGAAUUCCAAUUUUAAGGACUAUUAAACAGCUUCGGAACAUCUCAGAGUGUUUAUUGUGUCUC
rnacentral:snRNA from 1 species